UCCCUUGGGACGAGUCCAAGACUAUGAUGU
rnacentral:piRNA from 1 species